rnacentral:rRNA from 1 species
GGAUGAACGCUAGCGGCAGGCCUAAUACAUGCAAGUCGAGGGGCAGCACGGGUAGCAAUAUCUGGUGGCGACCGGCGCACGGGUGCGUAACACGUAUGUAAUCUGCCCUCAACAGGGGGAUAGCCCGGAGAAAUCCGGAUUAAUACCCCAUAAUAGAUGAAAGGGCAUCCUUUUAUUUUGAAAAUUCCGAUGGUUGAGGAUGAACAUGCGACUGAUUAGUUAGUUGGUGAGGUAACGGCUCACCAAGACCACGAUCAGUAGGGGUACUGAGAGGUUAUACCCCCACACUGGUACUGAGACACGGACCGGACUCCUACGGGAGGCAGCAGUAAGGAAUAUUGGACAAUGGCCGCAAGGCUGAUCCAGCCAUGCCGCGUGCAGGAAGACGGACCUAUGGUUUGUAAACUGCUUUUGAACUAGAGAAAACCCCCUUACGUGUAAGGGGCUGAUAGUAUAGUUAGAAUAAGCAUCGGCUAACUUCGUGCCAGCAGCCGCGGUAAGACGAAGGAUGCAAGCGUUAUCCGGAUUCAUUGGGUUUAAAGGGAGCGUAGGCGGACUUAUAAGUCAGUGGUGAAAUCUCAUAGCUUAACUAUGAAACUGCCAUUGAUACUGUAGGUCUUGAGUACAGUUGCCGUUGGCGGAAUAUGACAUGUAGUGGUGAAAUACUUAGAUAUGUCAUAGAACACCGAUUGCGAAGGCAGCUAACGAAGCUGUAACUGACGCUGAGGCUCGAAAGUGCGGGGAUCAAACAGGAUUAGAUACCCUGGUAGUCCGCACUGUAAACGAUGAUCACUCGUUGCUGAGGGGUAACCUUCAGUGACCAAGCGAAAGCGAUAAGUGAUCCACCUGGGGAGUACGCCGGCAACGGUGAAACUCAAAG